rnacentral:rRNA from 1 species
CAAUAGCGUAUAUUAAAGUUGUUGCAGUUAAAAAGCUCGUAGUUGGAUUUCUGGGAGGGUGCCAAUGUCCGCCGACGUGCGAGUGCAGCGGCGCCCUUUCAUCCUUCUGUUAACACCUCUUGGCAUUCAUUUGCUGGUGGUGGGCUCAGAUAUUUUACCUUGAGAAAAUUAGAGUGUUUCAGGCAGGCUAGGCCGGAAUACAUUAGCAUGGAAUAAUGGAAUAGGACUACGGUCUCUUUGUUGGUUUGAGGGACUGCAGUAAUGAUUAAUAGGGAUAGUUGGGGGCAUUAGUAUUUAAUUGUCAGAGGUGGAAUUCUCAGAUUUGUUAAAGACUAACUUAUGCGAAAGCAUUUGCCAAGGAUGUUUUCAUUAA